AAGCUGGAGUCGGAGAAGCCGCGGUCGCCGUCGGGACCUGCAAAGAAAGUCUAAACCGGAGGUGGGGUUGCUCUGACAAGACCCUCCGACGCUCAAGUCAGUUCUCUGCCUCAACAAGAAUGGAGUGCUCGAACGGAGAAUUUAGCAGAGUUUUGAGAUAAGAAAUGAGCUUAGAGAAUAACGUAUCUGGAUCCCCCUUUUUAUAGGCGGAGGAGGUAACGGAUUGAUGGCGACGUCUGUAACCGUCUGGUCGUGGGCCGCCCAUAGUCAGG
rnacentral:lncRNA from 1 species